AGGGGCAAAGGUUGGAACCCUCCUUACCUAAAGAUACGCAUUAUUCAGUGUCCACACAGAUUGUCUGAUAGAAAGUAACGAGCAGAAAUACCUUUAUAGGCUUGUAGCUCAGGUGGUUAGAGCGCACCCCUGAUAAGGGUGAGGUCGGUGGUUCAAGUCCACUCAGGCCUACCAAUUCUUUCCUUCUCUGCGUUGUCUUCACGACUCGUUUGUCAAAUCAAACUUCUCAUGAGUCUCCCUUGAUAUGAAACUAAAUGGCUAACUCUUCUGUUGAUGAGUGAUUAAGGUAUCUGUAAGUGACUGAUUGGGGCUAUACCUCAGCUGGAAAAGCGCCUGCCUUGCACGCAGAAGGUCAGCGGUUCG
rnacentral:misc_RNA from 2 species